rnacentral:rRNA from 1 species
AGUAACGCGUGGGUAACCUGCCUCAUACAGGGGGAUAACAGUUAGAAAUGACUGCUAAUACCGCAUAAGCGCACAGUGCUGCAUGGCACAGUGUGAAAAACUCCGGUGGUAUGAGAUGGACUCGCGUCUGAUUAGCUAGUUGGCGGGGUAACGGCCUACCAAGGCGACGAUCGGUAGCCGGCCUGAGAGGGUGAACGGCCACAUUGGGACUGAGACACGGUCCAA